rnacentral:rRNA from 1 species
CCGGAUCUGCGGUGGGUACGGGCAGACUAGAGUGCAGUAGGGGAGACUGGAAUUCCUGGUGUAGCGGUGGAAUGCGCAGAUAUCAGGAGGAACACCGAUGGCGAAGGCAGGUCUCUGGGCUGUAACUGACGCUGAGGAGCGAAAGCAUGGGGAGCGAACAGGAUUAGAUACCCUGGUAGUCCAUGCCGUAAACGUUGGGCACUAGGUGUGGGGACCAUUCCACGGUUUCCGCGCCGCAGCUAACGCAUUAAGUGCCCCGCCUGGGGAGUACGGCCGCAAGGCUAAAACUCAAAGGAAUUGACGGGGGCCCGCACAAGCGGCGGAGCAUGCAGGAUUAAUUCGAUGCAACGCGAAGAACCUUACCAAGGCUUGACAUGUUCUCGAUCGCCGUAGAGAUACGGUUUCCCCUUUGGGGCGGGUUCACAGGUUGGUGCAUGGUUGUCGUCAGCUCGUGUCGUGAGAUGUUGGGUUAAGUCCCGCAANGAGCGCAACCCUCGUUCCAUGUUGCCAGCACGUAAUGGUGGGGACUCAUUGGGAGACUGCCGGGGUCAACUCGGAGGAAGGUGAGGACGACGUCAAAUCAUCAUUGCCCCUUAUGUCUUGGGCUUCACGCAUGCUACAAUGGCCGGUACAAUGGGUUGCGAUACUGUGAGGUGGAGCUAAUCCCAAAAAGCCGGUCUCAGUUCGGAUUGGGGUCUGCAACUCGACCCCAUGAAGUCGGAGUCGCUAGUAAUCGCAGAUCAGCAACGUUGCGGUGAAUACGUUCCCGGGCCUUGUACACACCG